UGUUCGUUAUCGGGCGGAGGGUACAUUCCUCACACGAGGUUUGUUCUGUUUGAGAGUUAUUUAGGGCAUCGUGUUGUCAAACAAUCACCAAAACCAAAAAAAUGGGACGAUACAACAGGUCUGGCCGGAGCAGAAGUUACAGUCCUCGUCGCAGUCGAACGCCACCGCCACCAACACGACGUCGUUACGAUGACCCUCGAGACAGUCGUUACGAUGACUUCCGAGACCGUCGUUCUAACCCACACCCGCACCGCCGCCGAUCCCCUGCUCCCUCCGGCCUCCUCGUUCGCAAUAUAUCUCUAGAUUCUAGGCCAGAAGAUCUGAGGAUUCCUUUUGAACGUUUUGGCCCAGUAAAGGAUGUCUAUCUACCAAAAAACUACUAUACAGGUGAGCCACGUGGGUUUGGUUUUGUGAAGUUUUGUAAUGCUGAAGAUGCAGCAGAAGCUAAACAUCAGUUAAAUCAUUGUGUGAUUGGUGGGCGUGAGAUAGCUAUUGUUUUUGCUGAAGAAAAUAGAAAAACUCCUAGGGAAAUGCGGACUACUAGUCAGCCAAGUGGGCGUUAUGGAGGUGGUUCUGGUAGGCGGAGCCCACCUAGAUUUUCUAGACGCCGCUCAUAUUCACGCUCUUUAUCACCUGCUAGACGUGAAUUCAGUCGAGAAAGAAUGUAAAGAUUAAAGUUGGGCCUCACGAGAAUGGAAGUUUGAAUGGAAAUGUUAUUCAUCAGUCUGUCACAGUCACAGUGACAUGAUAAAAGUAAUGUUGCGAAUCUAGAGAGAUGAUACUGAUACUGAUACUGAUACUGAUACCGCAAAAGAAAAGAUUUCCAAUCCUUCCAAGUUUUAUUGAAGCCUAAAGCAUAAAAGUUAAUCUUUAAUCAUCCAAAUUUUUAGCAACUUGUCAGCAAUCGAGAUCGUAGAGACCGGGAUAAGUUUGUGCCCGAACGGUCGAGGUCGAGGUCUCGAUCGCCUCGUGAUGGUAGAAAGUCGCGAAAUUAUUCUAGAAGUCCUCAGAGAAAUGGGCGGGACCCGGUUUUUCAGGA